rnacentral:rRNA from 1 species
CCUACGGGAGGCAGCAGUGAGGAAUAUUGGUCAAUGGACGAGAGUCUGAACCAGCCAAGCAGCGUGAAGGAUGACUGCCCUAUGGGUUGUAAACUUCUUUUAUAUGGGAAUAAAAUGUUCCACGUGUGGGAUUUUGUAUGUACCAUAUGAUUCAGGAUCGGCUAACUCCGUGCCAGCAGCCGCGGUAAUACGGAGGAUCUGAGCGUUAUCCGGAAUUAUUGGGUUUAAAGGGAGCGUAGGUGGAUUGUUAAGUCAGUUGUGAAAGUUUGCGGCUCAACCGUAAAAUUGCAGUUGAAACUGGCAGUCUAGAGUACAGUAGAGGUAGGCGGAAUUCGUGGUGUAGCGGUGAAAUGCGUAGAGAGCAAGAAGAACUCCGAUUGCGAAGGCAGCUCACUGGACUGCAACUGACACUGAGGCGCGAAAGUGUGGGUAUCAAACAGGAUUAGAUACCCUGGUAGUC